CCAGCAGCAGCCAUGCUACCAGCCACUGCAACAGCCUGGGUAUCAGCAGUGGCCUGGCUACCAGCAGCAGCAGCAACCUGGGUAUCAGCAGCCACCUGCCUACCAGCAGCAGC
rnacentral:lncRNA from 1 species